rnacentral:rRNA from 1 species
GACGAACCGUGCAAACGUUGUUCGGAAUCACUGGGCAUAAAGGGCGCGUAGGCUGUGCUGUAAGUCAGGCGUGAAAUCCCCGGGCUCAACCUGGGAAUUGCGCAUGAUACUGCGGCGCUUGAAGACGGGAGAGGAUGGCGGAAUUCCCAGUGUAGAGGUGAAAUUCGUAGAUAUUGGGAAGAACACCGGUGGCGAAGGCGGCCAUCUGGCCCGUAAUUGACGCUGAGGCGCGAAAGCGUGGGGAGCAAACAGG